rnacentral:rRNA from 1 species
UACGUAGGGGGCAAGCGUUGUCCGGAUUUAUUGGGCGUAAAGAGCGUGUAGGCGGCUAGAUAGGUCCGUUGUGAAAACUCGAGGCUCAACCUCGAGACGUCGAUGGAAACCAUCUGGCUAGAGUCCGGAAGAGGAGAGUGGAAUUCCUGGUGUAGCGGUGAAAUGCGCAGAUAUCAGGAAGAACACCCGUGGCGAAGGCGGCUCUCUGGUACGUGACUGACGCUGAGACGCGAAAGCGUGGGGAGCAAUCAGG